rnacentral:rRNA from 1 species
AGCGAACGCUGGCGGCAGGCUUAACACAUGCAAGUCGAGCGGGCCCUUCGGGGUCAGCGGCGGACGGGUGAGUAACGCGUGGGAACGUGCCUUCUGGUUCGGAAUAACCCUGGGAAACUAGGGCUAAUACCGGAUACGCCCUUUUGGGGAAAGGUUUACUGCCGGAAGAUCGGCCCCCGUCUGAUUAGCUAGUUGGUGGGGUAACGGCCUACCAAGGCGACGAUCAGUAGCUGGUCUGAGAGGAUGGUCAGCCACACUGGGACUGAGACACGGCCCAGACUCCUACGGGAGGCAGCAGUGGGGAAUAUUGGACAAUGGGCGCAAGCCUGAUCCAGCCAUGCCGCGUGAGUGAUGAAGGCCUUAGGGUUGUAAAGCUCUUUUAUCCGGGACGAUAAUGACGGUACCGGAGGAAUAAGCCCCGGCUAACUUCGUGCCAGCAGCCGCAGUAA